rnacentral:rRNA from 1 species
GAUGAACGCUGGCGGCGUGCCUAAUACAUGCAAGUCGAGCGAACAGAUGAGGAGCUUGCUCCUCUGACGUUAGCGGCGGACGGGUGAGUAACACGUGGAUAACCUACCUAUAAGACUGGGAUAACUUCGGGAAACCGGAGCUAAUACCGGAUAAUAUAUUGAACCGCAUGGUUCAAUAGUGAAAGACGGUUUUGCUGUCACUUAUAGAUGGAUCCGCGCCGCAUUAGCUAGUUGGUAAGGUAACGGCUUACCAAGGCAACGAUGCGUAGCCGACCUGAGAGGGUGAUCGGCCACACUGGAACUGAGACACGGUCCGGACUCCUACGGGAGGCAGCAGUAGGGAAUCUUCCGCAAUGGGCGAAAGCCUGACGGAGCAACGCCGCGUGAGUGAUGAAGGUCUUCGGAUCGUAAAACUCUGUUAUUAGGGAAGAACAAAUGUGUAAGUAACUAUGCACGUCUUGACGGUACCUAAUCAGAAAGCCACGGCUAACUACGUG